rnacentral:tRNA from 1 species
CCUGGAAUGGUAAAAAUUAAUACGUUGGGCUUAAAAUCCGAAAAUGGAAAAUACUCCUUCCAGAU